UUUAAUUGUUUCUCCGGUUUCUUGUUUUUGUUUUCGUUAAACGUUUUUCGCGUCCGUGACGUCCUGCGUGUGACGACUGCGUUCCGUCGGUGAUCGUUUUCUUCAUUCGCGUUGUCACUUGUCUACAUUUUACCUUAAAUUAACGGCGGUCGCAACGUCCGGCGAACCUCUCGUCACGCAAUUCGGACGCGCGUCGUCGCAGGUGUUUGUUAUUUUUUUUGACCGCCAACGACGGGAUUCACGUAACACGUCAUCGUUACAUUUUGUUUACAACGCUCAAAUAAUUGUCUGCCUACUUUUAUGUUUCCCUGGGACAUUCAUCACAAACUGUUUGUACGACGGAUUUUGAAUGACAAGCAAACCGGCGUCGGCCGUCGCCAACGGUCAACGAUCGAUUAUAGUAUAUUGUUCCUGAUUUUGGAUGUAAUAGGCGUUAAGAGGACAUGAUACCCACAUGACGUGUUGUCUCCGUCUUACAAGUGCGUAACAUAGCAAAUUUACUCUCAGCAGAUCACGCUUAGCUCUGUUAACUUAUGAAAUCUUAAGGCUCGGUCAAAUAGAGAGUGUGCUGCCAUGGUCUACGGGUACGCUAAUCGCGGCGGGCAGCAGUCGGUUGGCAGACCGCUUUCUGUUUGACUGAGCCUUAAAGGUAAGAUUAUUAUCUAGACAGCCUCUUGGGCUUUUUAUCAUAUUUUAAUUUUUAAGCGAGUUAUGAGUACCUACUCUAAGACGUACAAAUUACAAUUUUAAAAUACUCUUAUCUCACUUUAAAAUUAAAACAUAAUGAAACGCCCAUGAUGUUGCCUAGAUAAUAAACUUAAGUUAAAAUUUUAUAAGAGGUCAAUUAACUCUAGUUUUUAAACUAACGGUGCUACACCUGUUCUGCUGAGCGUAGAAUUUGCUAUGUUACGCACUAGUAAGACGGAGACAACACAUGCGGGUAUCACGUCCUUUUAAUCAUAAUAUAAAAGCGUCCGGUGCCAAUGUAAUUUUAUACCCAAAAAUACGCUCUGCGGGAAUAAUGGUCCUGUUCUGUAGAAUCAACCAUACUUGAUAGGCGUUGUCAUGACCAGUGCGACAGUGGAUAACACGUUAUUAACCAGUACAAAAGGCCAUACCACAGGACUGGACAAUCAGUUGCGUUGCCGUAUUCGUUGUGUGUGCACCACGGUUAAAGCACUGUUUGCGUGCGUUUAUGUUACCAUUUUGUACCUACUGCACAGGCAAGUUGAGUUUAGUUUGUCACCGUCACUUCAACGUCGCUCCACUGUCAUUUUGUCACCAGCAUCACGGAGCAACAUCAAAGCUGCCAUACCCGCUCCGCCUGGAGCACCCCGGUAUGUCACAAAUGAAUCUACACGAAGCCAAGAUUAGCCCAGGAGUUCCAUUUUUCUCAAAAAUUUAUCAAAGUAAGAAGUUUCUAGUGAUUCCCUAUAAUAAUUUUAUGUUUGUUACCAGUAGACGUUUUGACGAUUAACUAUAAUUCAACCAGCAUGAUCAAUGGAAUAAUGAUUGAAUUCAGUGACUUCGUUUUAUGGUACAAAUACAUUGACAAAAUGCAUGAUAAAGCAACAGCAGAAACGACUAUAGAUAUCAAGUAUGUUCUAAAUUAAUUGUCCAAUUAAUUGCCUUGAUCACAUUGCGAAAGACCAUAAUCAGCCACCUCAAUCAACCUCAAAUGGAGAAAGAGAAACUGAAGAUUCUUGUCCGGUUACAACUAGAGUUAUGAAACCGGAACCAUCCACGACUCAAGAAAAUAUUCAGCAAGGGAGUCUCCUAUAGAUGAGGACAAAAAUCAACAGGAUUACAACAAAGGCACUGUCAAUACAGAUAUGACGUCGAAUGACAACGUCUUCGCUCAAGGAUCUGCAGAUGUUAAAAAAAGAAGAAACUCCAUACAGUGUUAAAAAAAGUCUAUGUAGUUUAUGUUAGCCACAUUCUAUAAUGAUAAUCCUUCAAACAGUGGGGGUUAGUUAAAACAAAGCUUAAGUUGUAUAAAACUUAAUUAAUAGUUAGUAAUCAAUUUUAUUUUUAUAAGCUCCAGUUUUAUAAUUUAUAAUUUCCCUUGAGGUUUUUUUUAUAUUUUCUUGUCAAUAUCUUUUAAGUGGCAUAAAUUAGGAGACUGUAUUAUUAAUUAUAAUAUAAGAAAUUAAACCACUAUUUUUUUAUAUAUAUAAAUUUUUUAGAUGAGGAAUAUAUUUAAAAGUGACACUUAAACA